rnacentral:sRNA from 1 species
CCACUCCCAGCGCCACGCCUUCGCAGAGGCAGCCUGUGCCAUCCUGCACAGCUCUGUCUUCCAGGAAUGCCACAGGCUGGUGGACAAAGAGCCAUUCUAUCUGCGCUGCCUGGCAGCCGUGUGUGGCUGUGAUCCCGGCAGUGACUGCCUGUGCCCGGUGCUGUCUGCCUAUGCGCGUCGCUGUGCCCAGGAAGGUGCCUCACCUCCCUGGAGGAACCAGACCCUCUGCCCUGUUAUGUGUCCUGGUGGCCAGGAGUACCGAGAGUGUGCCCCAGCAUGCGGUCAACACUGCGGGGAACCAGAGGACUGUGGAGAGCUGGGCAGCUGUGUGGCUGGUUGUAACUGUCCUCUGGGGCUGCUGUGGGACCCUGAGGGCCAGUGUGUGCCCCCCAGCUUGUGCUCUUGCCAGCUCGGAGCCCGUCGCUAUGCCCCUGGCAGUGCCACCAUGAAGGAGUGCAACCGCUGGUGAGGGCAGCGACCUUUGGGGCAAGAGGAAGAAUGUGGGGAUGAAGAGGUAGCUUGGGAGAUAACGGGUGGGGUGCAGCCUUGUUGGUCGCAGCGUGCAUGCUGGGGGUGACAGAGUGCUGAUCACUUCCCCUCGGUCGUGGGGCACUUUAGGGUCCAUAAAGCACUUUCGUGUGCAUCA